rnacentral:rRNA from 1 species
AAUGAACGCUGGCGGCAGGCCUAACACAUGCAAGUCGAGCGGAUGAAGGGGGCUUGCGCCUGGAUUCAGCGGCGGACGGGUGAGUAAUGCCUAGGAAUAUGCUUGGUAGUGGGGGAUAACGUCCGGAAACGGGCGCUAAUACCGCAUACGUGCUGAGGGAGAAAGUGGGGGAUCUUCGGACCUCACGCUAUCAGAUGAGCCUAGGUCGGAUUAGCUAGUUGGUGGGGUAAAGGCCUACCAAGCCGAGGAUCCGUAACUGGUCUGAGUGGAUGAUCAGUCACACUGGAACUGAGACACGGUCCAGACUCCUACGGGAGGGAGCAGUGGGGAAUGUUGGACAGUGGGCGGAAGCCUUAUACAGCCAUGCCGCGUGUGUGAAGAAGGUCUUCCGAUUGUGAAGCACUUUAAGUUGGGAGGAAGGGCAGUAAGUUAAUACCUUGCUGUUUUGACGUUACCAACAGAAUAAGCACCGGCUAACUUCGUG